rnacentral:piRNA from 6 species
GUGGUUCAGUGGUAGAAUUCUCGCCUGCCA